GACGAACGCUGGCGGCGUGCUUAACACAUGCAAGUCGAACGAGAAUCUGCGGAAAGAGGAUUCGUCCAAUUGAAGCAGAGGACAGUGGCGGACGGGUGAGUAACGCGUGAGGAACCUGCCUUUCAGAGGGGGACAACAGUUGGAAACGACUGCUAAUACCGCAUGACACAUCGGAGUCGCAUGGCUCUGAUGUCAAAGAUUUANCGCUGAAAGAUGGCCUCGCGUCUGAUUAGCUAGUUGGUGAGGUAACGGCCCACCAAGGCGACGAUCAGUAGCCGGACUGAGAGGUUGAACGGCCACAUUGGGACUGAGAUACGGCCCAGACUCCUACGGGAGGCAGCAGUGGGGAAUAUUGGGCAAUGGGCGCAAGCCUGACCCAGCAACGCCGCGUGAAGGAAGAAGGCUUUCGGGUUGUAAACGUUCUUUUGUCAGGGACGAGUAGAAGACGGUACCACUUGAAUAAGCCACGGCUAACUACGUGCCAGCAG
rnacentral:rRNA from 1 species